GAGGAUGUCGGCGCGGCGCGGGUCGAGGCUGGUGGUCUCGAGGUCGAGGGAAAUCACUUCCUCCGCCUCGAUCGCUUCGUGCAUCCACC
rnacentral:tRNA from 2 species